rnacentral:rRNA from 1 species
AUUGAACGCUGGCGGCAUGCCUUACACAUGCAAGUCGAACGGCAGCACGGGUGCUUGCACCUGGUGGCGAGUGGCGAACGGGUGAGUAAUACAUCGGAACAUGUCCUGUAGUGGGGGAUAGCCCGGCGAAAGCCGGAUUAAUACCGCAUACGAUCCACGGUUGAAAGCGGGGGACCUUCGGUCCUCGCGCUGUAGGGUUGGCCGAUGGCUGAUGAGCUAGUGGGUGGGUUAAAGGCCUACCAAGGCGAGGAUCAGUAGCUGGUCUGAGAGGACGACCAGCCACACUAGGACUGAGACACGGCCCAGACUCCUAAGGGAGGCAGCAGUGGGGAAUUUUGGACAAUGGGCGAAAGCCGGAUCCAGCAAUGCCGCGUGUGUGAAGAAGGCCUUCGGGUUGUAAAGCACUUUUGUCCGGUAAGAAAUCCUUGGCUCUAAUACAGUCGGGGGAUGACGGUACCGGAAGAAUAAGCACCGGCUAACUACGUG